UCAAACUUGGUCAUUUAGAGGAAGUAAAAGUCGUAACAAGGUUUCCGUAGGUGAACCUGCGGAAGGAUCAUUAAUAAAAUGUUUCCUUUCACAUUAUUUUCUGUGCAAUGUCCUUUUUGACCUGCCCGCGCAAGGGUUUUGGUUUUUAAGGGUUAAUAAACGUAUAUUUAUUGGUAAAAAUGUCUGAGUAUUAUACAUAUAAUAUUAUUUACAACUUUUAACAAUGGAUCUCUUGGCUCUUGCAUCGAUGAAGAACGCAGC
rnacentral:misc_RNA from 1 species